GAACUGUGUUGCAGACACUUCAUGCCAGGAGUUCCUUGAACCUUUCCCAUGUCUCAAAUAGAGGCUCCAAUUCCAACUGCAUAAAGGAUGAGAUCUCAUUCCUAAGCUU